GUCCAGACUCCUACGGGAGGCAGCAGUGAGGAAUAUUGGUCAAUGGGCGCAAGCCUGAACCAGCCAAGUCGCGUGAGGGAAGACGGCCCUACGGGUUGUAAACCUCUUUUGCCGGGGAGCAAGCCUGAGCACGUGUGCCCAGGCGGAGAGUACCCGGAGAAAAAGCAUCGGCUAACUCCGUGCCAGCAGCCGCGGUAAUACGGAGGAUGCGAGCGUUAUCCGGAUUUAUUGGGUUUAAAGGGUGCGUAGGCGGGACGUUAAGUCAGCGGUAAAAAUGCGGGGCUCAACUCCGUCGAGCCGUUGAAACUGCCGUUCUUGAGUGAGCGAGAAGUAUGCGGAAUGCGUGGUGUAGCGGUGAAAUGCAUAGAUAUCACGCAGAACUCCGAUUGCGAAGGCAGCAUACCGGCGCUCAACUGACGCUGAAGCACGAAGGCGUGGGUAUCGAACAGGAUUAGAUACCCCGGUACUA
rnacentral:rRNA from 1 species